UUGCUGUGAUGACAACUUUGGGACAACUUUGGAUUAACCAUGAAAAAAAUGUUCUGAACAAC
rnacentral:snoRNA from 1 species